UACCUGGAUGAUUCUGCCAGUAGUCAUAUGCUUGUCUCAAAGAUUAAGCCAUGCAUGUCCAAGUAUAAGCAAUUUGUACCGUGAAACUAUGAAUGGCUCAUUAAAUCAGUUAUUGUUUAUUUGAUAGUACCUUACUACUUGGAUAACCGUGGUAAUUCUAGAGCUAAUACAUGCUAAAAACCCCAACUUUGGGAGGGGUGUAUUUAUUAGAUAAAAAACCCAUGCCCUCUGGGGCUCCUUGGUGAUUCAUGAUGACUUAACAAAUUGCAUGGCCUUGUGCCAGCGAUGGUUUAUUCAAAUUUCUGCCCUAUCAACUUUUGAUAGUAGGAUAGUGGCCUACCAUGGUUUCAACGGGUAACGGGGAAUUAGGGUUCUAUUCCGGAGAGGGAGCCUGAGAAACGGCUACCACAUCCAAGGAAGGCAGCAGGCGUGCAAAUUACCCUAUUCUGACACGGGGAGGUAGUGACAAUAAAUACUGAUAUGGGGCUCUUUUGGUUCUCACAAUUGGAAUGAGUACAAUUUAAAUCCCUUAAUGAGGAACAAUUGGAGGGCAAGUCUGGUGCCAGCAGCCGCGGUAAUUCCAGCUCCAAUAGCGUAUAUUAAAGUUGUUGCAGUUAAAAAGCUCGUAGUUGAACCUUGGGCCUGGCUGGCCGGUCCGCCUCACUGCGUGCACUGGUCCGGCUGGGCCUUUUGUUCUGGGGAGCCGUAUGCCCUUCACUGGGUGUGCCGGGGAACCAGGACUUUUACUUUGAAAAAAUUAGAGUGUUCAAAGCCGGCCUAUGCUCGGAUACAUUAGCAUGGAAUAAUCAAAUAAGACAUGGGGUUCUAUGUUGUUGGUUUCUAGGACCGCCGUAAUGAUUAAUAGUGAUGGUCGGGGGCAUCAGUAUUCAAUUGUCAGAGGUGAAAUUCUUGGAUUUAUUGAAGACUAACUACUGCAAAAGCAUUUGCCAAGGAUGUUUUCAUUAAUCAGGGAACAAAAGUUAGGGGAUCAAAGACGAUCAGAUACCAUUGUAGUCUUAACCAUAAACUAUGCUGACUAGGGAUUGGGCGGUGUUAUCAUUUUGACCGGUUCAGCACCUUACGAGAAAUCAAAGUUUUUGGGUUCUGGGGGGAGUAUGGUCAUAAGGCUGAAACUUAAAGAAAUUGAUGGAAGGGCACCAUCAGGUGUGGAGCCUGCGGCUUAAUUUGACUCAAUACGGGGAAACUCACCAGGUCCAGACAUAUUAAGGAUUGACAGAUUGAGGGCUCUUUCUUGAUUAUGUGGGUGGUGGUGCAUGGCCGUUCUUAGUUGGUGGAGUGAUUUAUCUACUUAAUUGCAAUAAUAAACGAGACCUUAACCUGCUAAAUAGCCAGGCCUGCCCUGGCAGGUCACCAGCUUCUUAGAGGGACUAUCGGAUUAAGCUAAUAGAAGUUUGAGGCAAUAAUAGGUCUGUGAUGCCCUUAGAUGCUCUGGGCCGCACGCACACUAGAAGAUAUCCCGACAAAAUGCCGCAUCCGGCAAAAUGCUGCACCCACACAAUUAGUUGGCAAAAUGCAAUUUUGAUUAUUCCACAACAACCACAUCAGAAUUUGAAGUCAAAACUGAAUAAAUUAACAGUACUAUAGUAUCAAAACUGAUAAUAUAUACAAAAAAUUAUAUAACAAAUCGCCUCGGGAGCUGCACUCUCCUUCUUCUGGAGGUAGCUAAUAGGGCUACUUCCUCCUCCUGUGCUGUGACUGGACUCCUAGGCUGUCUUGCCUGCUUUCUAGGAGUCUUCUGGAUCUUGUAUGACCCUGUAGACCUCUUCUGUAGCUUCAAAUUCCCUCUCUUGUGCAUUUUUGCCUCCUCUCAAAGCUCCUUUCGAGCCUGGUUUUCCGCCGCCUUGGCAGUUUUUGCCUCUACAGCCAAUGGCUGCCUUUCCACGGCCGCUGCUGCCUUCUGUAGCUUUUCCUCCUCUUUUUGUAACUUCUUGAAAGCCACCAGAGCCUUCCGACUCUCAAUAUCCUGCCGGUGUUGUUGUUCUUCCUCCUCUUUCUCUGCCUGCCAAGUCCUAGCAGCUGUCACUCUCCCUGGGCUGAAGAAUUGAGGCCCAGACUCUUCUUCUCCAAGCAAAUUGAGGCGCUUGCCUCUUUUUCUCCUUUUCUUUUCCUCUCUGAACCUCACUGAAGGCUGCUGUGAGUCCUAGGAUCAUGUCAAUUACAACCUUAGAUGUCUCCCUGUUUUCACCCUUGGCAACUUCUUACUUGAACGGACUGACUCAGAUGCUAACCAACAGUCUAGGCUAUCUCGCAAUGUCAAAGAGAGCCUUCUGGAGUGUGUUUUGACCUGCUUGGAAGCUGGCCUUUACACCAAAGAACAUCACCUCCGGCUAUACCAAGACUGGAAUUUCCCCUACAAUCCAAGCCUAGUGCUCAAUAUUAUCACAAAACCACAACCAACUGAGCCUUAUGUAGCCUUUGGAUCUCCAAACACACCAAUGACAGGCCGCGUAGUUCGUCGCCUACAAAAGGCCUACAAAAAGGCACCUUCAGAGCCUCUGGUAGUGAAGCUCUUCAGGGCUAAUGAACGCCUCACUGCCGAGAACUCUAUUGGUACUCACAUAAUCUUAGGGCUCACAGCAGCUCUCAGAGAGGAAAAGAAAAGGAGAAAAAGAGGCAAGCGCCUCAAUUUGCUUGGAGAAGAAGAGUCUGGGCCUCAAUUCUUCAGCCCAGGGAGAGUGACGGCUGCUAGGACUUGGCAGGCAGAGAAAGAGGAGGAAGAAUAACAACACCGGCAGGAUAUCGAGAGUCGGAAGGCUCUGGUGGCUUUCAAGAAGUUACAAAAAGAGGAGGAAAAGCUACAGAAGGCAGCAGCGGCCGUGGAAAGGCAGCCAUUGGCUGUAAAGGCAAAAACUGCCAAGGCGGCGGAAAACCAGGCUCAAAAGGAGCUUUGAGAGGAGGCAAAAAGGCACAAGAGAGGGAAUUUGAAGCUACAGAAGAGGUCUACAGGGUCAUACAAGAUCUAGAAGACUCCUAGAAAGCAGGCAAGACAGCCUAAGAGUCCAGUCACAGCACAGGAGGAGGAAGUAGCCCUAUUAGCUACCUCCAGAGGAAGGAGAGUGCAGCUCCUGAGGUGAUUUGCUAUAUUAUUUUUUGUACAUAUUAUCAGUUUUGAUACUAUAGUACUAUUAAUUUAUUCAGUUUUGACUUCAAAUUCUGAUGUGGUUGUUGUGGAAUAAUCAAAAUUGCAUUUUGCCAACUAAUUGUGUGGGUGCGGUAUUUUGCCGGGUGCGGCAUUUUGUCAGGAUAUCUUCUACACUGACAGAGUCAACAAGUCCACUCCCUUGGCCUAAGGUCUGGGUAAUCUUGUUAAACUCUGUCAUGCUGGGGAUAGAGUAUUGCAAUUAUUGCUCUUUAACAAGGAAUGCCUAGUAAGCACGAGUUAUUAGCUCACAUUGAUUACAUCCCUGCCUUUUGUACAUACCGCCUGUUGCUACUACCAAUUGAAUGGCUCAGUGAGGCCUCCGGACUGGCUUGGGGAGGUUGGCAACAACCACCCCGAGCUGGAAAGCCGGUCAAACUUGGUCAUUUAGAGGAAGUAAAAGUUGUAACAAGGUUCCGUAGGUGAACCUAUGGAAGGAUCAUUA
rnacentral:rRNA from 1 species